UAGGAUUAGUUUUAUUGUACUUAUAUCCUAAACAUAAAGUUUUUUAUGGAGUGCAAUUAUACAAAUUAUAGUUAUAACAUACAAAUAUGAUUUUUUUUUUUUUUGCUAAGCCUAAAUUCUUUUACCUUGCCAAGCCCAUUUCUUCCCCCCGACCUGGCCCUUUUCCUUCUCAAAAGAAACCCAGAAGCAUCCAUUUAUUUCCAACAUUAACAUUACAACUUAGCAGCAACAUCAAGUAGAGAACGACAUCAAUUCCCAAACGGUAAUAUUCCAAUAGCAAUGGAUACAACGCCAAAACAAAACUGACGGCGUCUUCACUCCAGCAAACAAUAAUGAACAUAAGGACACGUCGAGUUCACAACGUUCGCGGGUUACAGUUUUAUCCUCAUUGUAUCCCUCGCCAACUUUAUUUGCACGGUGAUUUUGGCUACAACAAUCAAAGUAUUCGUCCUUGCAGCCUCGAGAUCGUGCCACGAAGCGCGUCAAGAAGAUGAGAUUCAUCUGCAACGUCAACAUUGCCAUCCUAUCAUUCGAAUUUGAUAUAGCUGAACGGGGACAUGCUCAAAUUACUCCAAGAGGAAGUUCUUAAAGUUGAGAAAAUGAACAAGGUAGAAGAGUAAGCCACUGUAAGACAUGUUUCCGAGGGCAUGAGAUCGUACGGAUUGGUAUCUCAAAGGCUAUACAAAAUCUGUUAAGGAAUGAAAGAGUCAAUAGAAGGGAAAAGAGAGAAAAUUUAAAUAGUUUGAAUCUUUGAAAAUAUACUCUAAUACUCCUUCACGUGAUUUAAUUCAUUUUUAAAAAAUAAUAUGGGUUGAACUGGAUGAUCAUAAGGAACUUUUCGAUUGGAGAGCCUUAGCUUAAGACGCUGCCCGUGAACCUUGGAAUAGUGGAUUUACUGAUGUUUAUCGUGAUAUUUGGCCCAGUCAGCCUAAGGAUAGAUAUUUGUUGCCUUGAAGACUUUUGAGAGGAUUUUAGUCUAUUAAAAUAAUUAGUGGUUUGUUAUUACUUAUUUACUUUUCCUUAUAUGAACUAUGUAGUUUGUUUUUUUAAAAAUAUAAGUUAUUAGACUUAAAAA